rnacentral:rRNA from 1 species
CCCUGCCAUUUGUACACACCGCCCGUCGCUAGUACCGAUUGAAUGGCUUAGUGAGGCCUCAGGAUCUGCUUAGAGAAGGGGGCAACUCCAUCUCAGAGCGGAGAAUUUGGACAAACUUGGUCAUUUAGAGGAAC